rnacentral:rRNA from 1 species
CCUUCGGGGUGCUCGAGUGGCGAACGGGUGAGUAACACGUGGGUGAUCUGCCCUGCACUUUGGGAUAAGCCUGGGAAACUGGGUCUAAUACCGAAUAUGAUCACNNNNNNNANNNNCUGUGGUGGAAAGCUUUUGCGGUGUGGGAUGGGCCCGCGGCCUAUCAGCUUGUUGGUGGGGUAAUGGCCUACCAAGGCGACGACGGGUAGCCGGCCUGAGAGGGUGACCGGCCACACUGGGACUGAGAUACGGCCCAGACUCCUACGGGAGGCAGCAGUGGGGAAUAUUGCACAAUGGGCGCAAGCCUGAUGCAGCGACGCCGCGUGAGGGAUGACGGCCUUCGGGUUGUAAACCUCUUUCAGCACAGACGAAGCGCAAGUGACGGUAUGUGCAGAAGAAGGACCGGCCAACUACGUGCCAGCAGCCGCGGUAAUACGUAGGGUCCGAGCGUUGUCCGGAAUUACUGGGCGUAAAGAGCUCGUAGGUGGUUUGUCGCGUUGUUCGUGAAAACUCACAGCUUAACUGUGGGCGUGCGGGCGAUACGGGCAGACUGGAGUACUGCAGGGGAGACUGGAAUUCCUGGUGUAGCGGUGGAAUGCGCAGAUAUCAGGAGGAACACCGGUGGCGAAGGCGGGUCUCUGGGCAGUAACUGACGCUGAGGAGCGAAAGCGUGGGGAGCGAACAGGAUUAGAUACCCUGGUAGUCCACGCCGUAAACGGUGGGUACUAGGUGUGGGUUCCUUCCUUGGGAUCCGUGCCGUAGCUAACGCAUUAAGUACCCCGCCUGGGGAGUACGGCCGCAAGGCUAAAACUCAAAGGAAUUGACGGGGGCCCGCACAAGCGGCGGAGCAUGUGGAUUAAUUCGAUGCAACGCGAAGAACCUUACCUGGGUUUGACAUGCACAGGACGCCGGCAGAGAUGUCGGUUCCCUUGUGGCCUGUGCGCAGGUGGUGCAUGGCUGUCGUCAGCUCGUGUCGUGAGAUGUUGGGUUAAGUCCCGCAACGAGCGCAACCCUUGUCCUAUGUUGCCAGCGGGUUAUGCCGGGGACUCGUAGGAGACUGCCGGGGUCAACUCGGAGGAAGGUGGGGAUGACGUCAAGUCAUCAUGCCCCUUAUGUCCAGGGCUUCACACAUGCUACAAUGGCCGGUACAAAGGGCUGCGAUGCCGUGAGGUGGAGCGAAUCCUUUCAAAGCCGGUCUCAGUUCGGAUCGGGGUCUGCAACUCGACCCCGUGAAGUCGGAGUCGCUAGUAAUCGCAGAUCAGCAACGCUGCGGUGAAUACGUUCCCGGGCCUUGUACACACCGCCCGUCACGUCAUGAAAGU